CGUCAACCUGCUGAGUAUGGCUGCAUUGCACUCAGCAGCAGAGUCCAGUCCAGAACUGAGGGCCGUGCGCUCCUCCAAGCCCGUGGAGAGCAUGGCUGACCCUUCUUCCCCAACACAGACACAGGGAAGAAGGCACUGACUGGUCAUAGCUGAGAUAGCAAGAAGAAAAGCAGUGUAGAUGAUAGUCCAGUUCGAGUUGAGUGCGCACCAGAGGAGCACACAACCCCAGGGUGAGGGCACACAGCGUCCUGGUCAGCCUACUAGGCGGCACGCACAGGGCAGCUGGCCGAGAUGCUUCAUGACGGAUUCACAUGGGAGCGGAGUGUGCUGUCCUGCAGAGAAGUGGACAUGUGCCAAGGAGUGUGUGCAACCCAGGACCCAAGAAACACUGGUUAGGGCUUUUUUUCUUUCUAGCCAAAGGUAAGGCCUGCAGCGGACUAAACGGUAAGUACCCAGGCUCAGCACAUGCCAAGAAGAAUGGUUGCAUCGUGGUUAAAAGGAGGUCCAAGGUAGAGAGAAAGGAGAAGAAUGUGAAGAAGAGGAACCUGCUAACCAAACAGUGACUCAGGGCAGAGUCAUUCUGCCCCAACCCCGGCUGCCCAUCUCUCACGGGGAAGCUAGUAAACCACCACAGAAGAGCUGACCCUCUGCCGGGUAAGUAGAGCUCAACACCAGCAGAGAGCCAUUCUCUGGCCCAUGGCACACACAGAGACACGGCACCAAGGGCGAAGGCUGGGGGUCCCUGCCGAGCGGCCGACUUGGGUGGGGGAAGCACAGGCGUCACCCGUGAGGAGUGCUCCAGGCUGACUCCGCAAGGCUGUUCAGAGGAAAGUCCGCAGUGGCCGGCCAGGGCCCGCAGGAGCCAGAGACGAGCAGGACGUACAGCAGAGGUUCCAUUCCUCUCUGUCAUGUAACUUUACAUCCUCAGUGGUACCAGACAGGGCUGUAAGCACAGAGCUGUUUUCAAGAGGGGCAGAGGAGCGCAGGAGGGCAGUAGUAGUCUCCAUGGAGCUCUACGAAGAAUGGCGCUGUCUCACCGGCUGUGAAAAGCCUUUCUGAACGGUUCAGCCCUGCACAAGAGACAGCUUCCCUGUACCCUGGCCCCUUGUGAACUCACCCUGCACGGAUUCAUCGCUCCCUUCCUUCCCUUCCCUUUGAGCAAGACAUAGUCGCCGUGACGAGCUGGGCCUGGGCUGGGCCACGCACUCCGCGUUCCACACACUCGCUUGUUUAAUCUAACGUGGGAGCACAUGAGGACUCAAGCCAUGCUGCCAGAAUAUUGUGUGACACCUUGCCCUAAGUGUACUCAAAAUAAAUAAAAUUUGCAG
rnacentral:lncRNA from 1 species